GGCUCUGGCUCAGGGAGCUGUUUUUCAGCCCAGUAAUGGAACAAGGAAUCACCUCCUGGGCUAAUGAUGUUGUGCCUGAUUGGCAGAGGUGUGAGCAUCUGCAGCUUCCACUGACAUCAGCAGGCUGAAGACAAAAGGUUGUAAGACUGGAAUUUCCUAGGGGAUGAACAUUGCAUUUUGUGAAAAAGCUCUAAUAAAAAUGUGUGCACACAUACAUCCCACACAAACAUACCCGUAUGGUAAAGCUUGAGAGCACGUCCUCAUUGCAGCAGAGAG